AUUGCUUUAAUCAACCCUGAUAACGGAAUUUCCUAAGAUAUCUACAGUUUUCAGCCUGAUGUUCCUUAGCUUAUUAUCUGACACACAAAAUAAAAUGAAGUUUCAGCUGAGCCCUGAGCACACUAAUGACCCUCACUAAUAGCCCUGAGACCCCUCACCUGGAGCUCACACCCAUGAGCCCAGGAGCUCCAUCUAAGCUCAGCCCUGGGCAUUCCUUGCUUGCUUGAUCCAUACUGGAGGAGUGCUGGUCUCUUGUGGCCCUACUCCUGUCUGGUUAUCAAGUCUGUUGAACUGGAUCUAAACCUAUGGAUUAGCUUCAUGACUUGAUUUUUAUUUUUUUGUCACUGUGGACCUGUCUGGUGGGCACUGGAUCUAAUCCUUUCCCCUGACUUUGUGACUUGGCCUCAGAACCUAUCCCAUCACCAUUAUAUAGAAUUUUGACCUGAAUUUUUGGUUGGGCCUGGCCAUCAUCUCUGGGUUUGUCUGGCUCGCCUCUGGCAAUGUGGGCUGAGACCUGGCUAGUAAGGCUCCCUCUUGGCUCCUGCCUCACCUUCCUUUAAGGAGCAGCCCUGCUCUUGCUGCUCCCUGACAGAUAUAUCCUGGUGUUCGGGUGCUCUGAGGGAGCAGCUGCCUUGCCAUUUGGAGCAAGAAAGCAACAUUACCGUUCUGAGAGGGAGGGAGAACUCCCCAGCCAAACAUAUCUAAUUUAAUUUUUUAGCCAUAACAAAAGCGUGGUGACUGGUAGCUGUGUGUUCUGCGCGACUAAGUGCGUGCACCCAGAGCUGCAGUCUGACUGUAAGAUGACAUCAAGUUAAGCAGCAUGCCAGCAGCCUCUCAGUCAUCCUUCCUAUUGCUUGCCAAGAGCUGUUGAUGCUUCCCAAAACAUGUGAGGCUGCUCUCUGACAGAGGCUACUCAAGAGCUGGGCGAGGCUGUUUCCCAGCGUGUUCCUCUGCUGUAUCUGUUUAUCUUCCGUGACAUUCCUUUAUGUGAGAAAUCAAGUGUGGGACAAAAAGGAUUGUCCUGGGAAUGACGGAAGUAAGGUCUCAUGCUCGAAGCCAGCCUUGAUGUAAUACCAACACUGCACAGCUUCUAACUACUGAAGCAGGCUUUCCCUUGGGAGCUGAACAACUCAAGUUUGAAGGGGAUGGAGAUCCCUCUGCUGAGAAAAAUGCAUGGUCUGGAAAAAAUAUGAAACAUGUGAACAUCUCUCAUCAUCUCUAUAAUCUACAAACCCUUCUGGACGGGCUUACUAGCACAUCCCUGGAGAGACAGCAGCCUGUGUGUCUCUGGACUUCAGAUUCAUCACAAUCUGUACAGCAAACCUCGUGGUAGAUAAAGAAUUGACGUCAAUUCACCACAGGAGGGUAAAGCAGUUGCCUUGGGGAGGAGAGGCAGGCAGAGGGAGAGAAAGAGGAGAGGGAGAAGAGAGAAUGUGCUGUGCUAAGCUGCUAUUGGACACCUGCUUCUGCUAGAAAUGUUCAGAACCUCUCCAACCUCUUAGCACUUGAGAUGAGCCACUGCUUUGGAGCAGUCCAGGAUCCCACUGCAAGGCACUUGGGAUAAUGCUGGACCCCUGACCAACGCUCUGUGCAAGAUUUGGUGGCACAGCUACAAACAGCAAAGCUACAGAGAGGUGUUUGCUAGCUCAGAGCACAUGGUCAAGCUUUGGUAUCUUCAGAGUUCAACCCCUGUUUCAGGUGAGAGACUGGUAACACCUGCACUAUUGGGAUGAGGAGACUGGCUUAUUCUUACAGGAACUUUCUGAAGGUCGCGCAGGGAGAAGCAACUCAAGACAUCAACUUUUCCUUUUCCUGCACUUGCACCUGUUCUGCAGGUAAAGAAAAGACCCUUCCUUUACACCAGACAGCCCAAUACUAUUUCCAGGCUCUUUAAAGAAACAAGGAAAAAAAAAAAGGCCCUGUGGUGCUGCUCUUUCUGCUUUUCAUAUGUAUGGUGAUUUUAGGAGAUUCCAACAUGCUUUAAAAACAGUGACACAUUCUAGGGACUGGCACAUGGAGGGGGUGCAGCUCUAAUAGCCUCAGGAUGGUCUAAGAGAUAACAGGAUUACUGCCUCCUGCCUGGGAUCUUUACCUCCCUACACUCACAUGGGGUUGUGGAAACAGCUGUAUCCUGACAGUGCCCUCUGAUGAGAAGGAGAGAAAGAUUAUGCUGAGAAAUGAGGAAGCAGGCUCAGUCCAUGCCUUCAGAAGCUGGUGAGAGGCAGAGAGAUGAGAGGAGAAGGAUCUAGCAGUUCAACAUGCCAAAAAGGCCAUGUCCUCAGGUCAGCCAGCUCUCCCCCACAAGGGAGGCUGUAUUCAGCUCUCCUGCUCCUCUGUGGACAAUCGUCUCUAGCAAAAGCCAGGCCAGUAGCUGAGAGAAAACCGGGGAUGCAGCGGUCAGCCACCUUCAGUAAAAACCAAAAACUGGAAAAGUUGAAAGUGAAAUCCUGGACUGUGCUGGGGGACUGAAAAGCACCAAGAUAAUCCCUCACCCCUGCCAAGCAGAGUAAACCUUAUCACAGGGAGGGCAACCAGCCGUGAGAGAACAUGCCAGUCUGACAGGCUUUCUGUCCCACCCUUGAAUUUGAGCAGGACAUUAAGGCUACAGUGAGAGAAGGCAAUGAAUGACAACCACACCAACCUUUAGGCUCUUAUUCCAUCAAAAGGAAAAUUUGCCCCACAGCUGCUCAUGGAGCUGAUGCAGGGAGCAGAUGUUACUGCUUUUCUGUGUCUAUCCCUUCUUCCUCAAACUCCCCUCAAAGUUUCUACAGAGAUAUUGUCUUCUUCAAGUUACGUGGAUAGAAACGUCAAACCUCGAUUGCAGCCAUGAAUCUGCUCAUGAACUCUGCUGGCUGCAAUGCCACAGAGCUGCCUUAAAGCUCUCUUAAAAAUGUGAGGCAUUCCAGUCAUUUUAAUUACUGUGCAUUGCAUAAGCCAGAAACCAGUUCAUACAAAGGAACAACAGAAAAGUGAUUUUCAAUUGCUCUCACUCUCUUCUGUAUUUAGUGCAGCCUCCAAAGCUCUGGGAACACCAGCUCUUAUUAACAUUUGAAGCACUUCAUCUAUUUGAAAUCUCUUUGUUCAAUCACUUAAAGCUAUUGAUGCAGUUUAGAAGGGUUUAAAAAAGAAAAUCAAAACUUCAAUUUGGAAAUGGCUACAGCAGCAGGAAAGCAAAACAAGAGAAAUGGAAAGACGUACUAUAAACAAAAAUGAGAGAACAUUAGUUGCUUGGAAUGAGGCAUAGGCAGGUAGAACCAAGCAAAUCACGUCGUGUCCUUCCCUCCCGGAUUCUGUCAGACCAUCUAAUCACAGCCUCCUGGCUUGAACCCUGCAUGGUACUGAGCCCUCUGGCCCUGGUCCAGAAAUGCACUUAAGCUUAUAUUUAACUUUGUGUAUGUAAAUGGUUCUGUUGACUUCAGCAGAGCAUCUCGUGUGCUUAGAGCUGAACAUGUGCCUUAGUGUUUUGCUGGAUUUGGGCCAAAGAGCACGGUCAUGUGCAGGAAGCAUUUUCAGCUUGAUAAGGCUGUUAAAAGAUAUUUCCUGGUUACUCUUCUGCAGCUGAUGACACAUGAAUGGAGGAUCCCCACACUACUGAGGGGUGAUUUCAUAUUCCACAACCCCUUAUAAUGUAAUAUUCCUGGAAACACAUGCUGCCUACAGUCUGCUACCAGGCUGGGUGCUCUCAGUGGGCACAGUCUCUAAAGGAUCCUUGAAGACUGAACACAGUAUAGAACUGUUAGAGCUGAUGAAAAUUUAAUGGUGUACCUGCAAUGAAAAGCUUGGGAAUGGGAUGGAGUGUUACCUAUGUCUGGCUUGCAGACAGGAAGGUGACAUAAUUCCUUUGCAACCUCAGAGAAAGAGAUCAAAUGAAUUUUUUUGGUAUGUAUUCAUAGAAUCAAAGACAUUUUUGAAGAAGGAGUAUUCUCAUUUUAAAUAGCAUAUAAAAUUCACUGAUAAAAUGGUGGAAUUAACAGGAGUUUUUUCAACUUGUUUCACAUCUAUGAAUCAUAGGAAAUACAAACAUUUUAGACAAAACUUCUUCUCCAAGGACAGUGUUAGAAAAGAAACAAUUCACUGAAAAAGAAGCAGAUAAUAAAGAAAUAUGAGAACCUUUUUCUAAUGCGAUACAUGACCAUUUGCUACUGUCCUACAAGAUGGCAGGGGUGUGCUGUAGAAAGAACAUCAGAUAGCUCUGAAAACACCUACUCUUCCCCUCAUGCUGCAUGAAAGCAGAAAACAAUGCCUAGAGGGCAUGAUGCUGAGCUAGUGUAAAAGAUAUAAAGAUCAUCAACUUCAAGAAAAGUUUUUAGGACAAGAGGAUGCUUUUGAGCAACUUGUCAGGUGGACAGUUUAGAAUGCUAAUGGCAAGACUCCACGCCCUUGAAUAAAGUAAAUUUGUUGUCAAAAAAUUAAAAUAGAAAAGGGCCCUUACUUCAGAAGCUUUUAAAAUUAUAUUGUUAAGGAGGUGGCAGGGCUGUUAAACUGCAGGUUGAUUUCAUUCAUGCUAAGCUCAGUUUAAGCCAGCUAAGAUCUGGUGAGGAACUGAAGUGUUACCAACCACUACAUGUGACAUUUGUGAGGGUAUUUUCCUCUGGUGAUAGUGGGGUCUCUCUCUCUCUCUGCACCCCUCUCUCUCUCUCUUUCUCUCAGCCCUCCUGGUAUGUGUUUUAUUGCCAGCAGUUGCUGUAGGUUGAUGAAGCCCUUCUGCACUGAAGCAGCCGGCAUCCCUCACAAUGAAAUGUGAUCAGAAGGCAAGUGAACAUGCCUUCAGUUCAUAUCUCAGUCUCUGUCCCUGGUUCCAGGCCGGUCUUGUGGACGGAAAAUGAUGUUAACAUGCACCUGAUAUAAACUGAGUAUCUGAAAGCAGAAGGUGAUUCUCCUUCCUGAAAUGUAAAUAAGACACCCAGCUCAGUGUUUCCUUUUCCAAGGAUCGGUUCUUUCGGCGCUGCGGAGGAGCCGGCUCCGUGCGGAGGUCGGGGCCAUCUCCGGCAGCGCACUGCCCCCUAGCACCGCCGCGCACAUUCCUGCGCCAUGGAGCGAGAGGGACCCUGCUCGGCCAACAGCACCUGCGGGACGCGGCUUUCCCUGGGAAUUUUCACAGCAGCUAUUGACCCAGCCCAGUCAUGCUGGGCUUGCGGGAUCCGACAGGAUCACAGCAUGGAGCUGUGUGGC